rnacentral:rRNA from 1 species
AACGAACGCUGGCGGCAUGCCUAACACAUGCAAGUCGAACGAGACCUUCCGGCCUUGUGGCGCACGUGUGCGUAACGCGUGGGAACCAGCCCUUAGGUUCGGUAUACCUCCCCGUGAGGUAUCCUAAUACCACAUAAUGUCUUCCGGCCAAAGAUUUAUCGCCUUUGGAUGGGGCCGCGUUGGAUUAGCUAGUUGGUAGGGUACAAGCCUCCCAAGGCGACGUUGCAUAGCUGGUCUGUGAAGAUGGUCAUGCACACUGGGACUGAGACACGGCCCAGACUCCGACGGAAGGCAGCAGAAGGGAAUAUUGGACGAGGAGCGAAAGCCUAAUCCAGCAGUGCGGCGGAUGUGGUGAAGGCCGUAGUGUUGUAAAGCUGUUUGUCACGGGAUGAGAAUGACAGUACCGGGUGAAUAAGCUCCGGCUAACUCCGUG